UACGGAGGGGGCGAGCGUUAUUCGGAAUUAUUGGGCGUAAAGGGCGCGUAGGCGGCUCUUUAAGUCAAAGGUGAAAUCCCUCGGCUCAACUGAGGAACUGCCUUUGAAACUGAAGAGCUUGAGUCCGGGAGGGGGUAGCGGAAUUCCCAGUGUAGCGGUGAAAUGCGUAGAUAUUGGGAGGAACACCAGUGGCGAAGGCGGCUACCUGGACCGGAACUGACGCUGAGGCGCGAAAGCGUGGGUAGCAAACAGG
rnacentral:rRNA from 1 species